GACGUAGGGCGCGAGCGUUGUCCGGAUUUAUUGGGCGUAAAGAGCUCGUAGGCGGCUUGUUGCGUCAGCUGUGAAAACCCGCAGCUCAACUGUGGGCUUGCAGCUGAUACGGGCAGGCUUGAGUUCGGUAGGGGAGACUGGAAUUCCUGGUGUAGCGGUGAAAUGCGCAGAUAUCAGGAGGAACACCGGUGGCGAAGGCAGGUCUCGCUGG
rnacentral:rRNA from 1 species